rnacentral:rRNA from 1 species
CCUACGGGUGGCUGCAGUGGGGAAUCUUGCGCAAUGGGCGAAAGCCUGACGCAGCCAUGCCGCGUGAAUGAUGAAGGUCUUAGGAUUGUAAAAUUCUUUUAGCAGGGACGAUAAUGACGGUACCUGCAGAAAAAGCCCCGGCUAACUUCGUGCCAGCAGCCGCGGUAAUACGAAGGGGGCUAGCGUUGCUCGGAAUUACUGGGCGUAAAGGGAGCGUAGGCGGGUUAUCAAGUUGGAGGUGAAAGCCCAGGGCUCAACCUUGGAAUUGCCUUCAA